ensembl:lncRNA
AGCUGUUGAAAGUGGGACGGAGGCAGAGCUGUUGAAAGUGGGACGGAGGCAGAGCUAUUGAAAAACAGCCUCAAUUCGUUGGACUUGGAUUCUACAAGGGAUGCUGGCCCACGCCAAUGGUUCCCACAGUUGGGUUGGCUGGAUGUCCUUUGGGUGGUGGACCAUUCUUGAAAAACCCAACAGCGUUAAAGUUCUUGACACAUUUAAACCGGUGUGCCUGGCACCUACUACCAUACCCCAUUCAAAGCUCUUAAAUAUUUUUGUCUUGCCCAUUCACCCUGUUAUGGCACACAUUCACAAUCCAUGUCUCAAUUGUCCUUUACCCUGUUUUCUCCGUUUCAUCUACACUGAUUGAAGUGGAUUUAACAAGUGACAUCAAUAAGUGAUCACAGCUUUCACCUGGAUUCACCUGGUCAGUGUGUCAUGGACAAAACAUUAGGAACUCCUGCUUUGUCCACUCAGUGUAUUUUCAAUGCAUAUACUUAGAGCUAUAUUGAUCCAUUUUAUUCCCAGUGGAUUUACCAUAGACUUUAAGAGUGAGUAGUGAUUGAACCAACUCACUCACUGUCAAUGUCAAACCAAGUAAUUAAUUGGAGUCAAACACAUACACAAAAUUCAGCCUUGAAAGUUCCAGUGAGACAACUUCAGUCCAGUCAGAACAUUCCUUCCAAAGCAGGAAGUCAACCAUGCUGCCCUGGAUAUCGAGCAGACUAUACAGCAUCGCCGAAGGUCAGCAUUUGUGUCCUGAACCUUUAGAAAUCAUCUUCAGUUUAAAAGGGGUUUAUUAGGACUUUAAGAGGUUGUUGAUGUGUGACGACCACGGCAAUGACAACGAUGAUGUCAUGGCAACAGGGUUGUUCUUGAAGUGCGGUGGCAUUUGCAUCCCUUGCCUUUGCAACCAUGAAAAUAACAUUAGUGACACGUAGUUACAGAUGUUUAUGUUUAUACUGAACUGUUUAUCAAUCAUAAAACACUGCAAGUCCUUUAUACUGCAAAACUUUGUUUAACCAUUGUUUAAAGUACUUAGGGUAAGCAAAUUGGCUUGUCCCAGUAGUGAUGUGUGCAGU